AUGUUGUACAUUUUAUUCCUGGAUUUGAAUUUUGAUGUCUGUACAUAUCAUUUGUGUGUACUGCUACUCCACACCCCAACCAUCAUGUAUGUGUGCUUUUAACACCUCGAUGGGUGCAUUAUGGGCAACUGCCCUCUGCAUUUGGCUGGCUUCAUUAAUACUCAACUGAUUGCUGCAUCGAACACAAUACCAAAUUAAUUGUUUGCUUUAAAUCAGUGUAUUUGUUUAUUAUCUGUUCAGUUUAGCUUUAUUUAUGGGGAUCAGUUUCAACAUUGUGUUUGACUAUUUGUCACUGGUUAGAAGAGGCUCAGCAAAACUGUUCCAGCACAAAAGGCACACAGAUACACCAUUCUGCAUGGCCAUGCAGCUGAAUAGGACAGGUGGAAAAAAAAAAAGUAGUGUUCAAAGGUCGUAUUGUACCAUGUGGCCAAACCGUAGCAUUCUUGGAGUGAAGCUAGCAGGCACAAUGACGUUGAGAUGAUUUAACCCUCCCAAAAAAAAAAACAUGCCAGACAAAAGAACGAAAAUAUAAUUUUCACUGGAAAAAGUCUUGAAGGACCCUCCUUGAGCCGUCACCUUAUCGUGGUGGAGGGGUUUGUGUGUCCCAAUGAUCCUAGGAGCAAUGUUGUCUGGGGCUUUAUGCCCCUGGCAGGGUCACCCAUGGCAAACAGGUCCUAGGUGAGGGACCAGACAAAGCACGGCCUAUCCCCCUUAUGAAGAAGACAAAUUAUGGACUCAGGUUUCCCUUGCCCGGACGCGGGUCACCGGGGCCCCCCUCUGGAGCCAGGCCUGGAGUUGGGGCUCAAAGGAGAGCACCUGGUGGCCGGGCCUGCACCCAUGGGGCACAGCCCGAAAGGGUAACGUGGGUCCCCCUUCCCAUGGGCUCACCACCUGUGGGAGGGGCCAUAGGGGUCGGGUGCAGUGCGAGCUGGGCGGUGGCCGAAGGCGGGGACCUUGGCAAUCCGAUCCCCGGCUACAGAAGCUGGCUUUAGGGACGUGGAAUGUCACCUCUCUGGCAGGGAAGGAGCCCGAGCUGGUGUGUGAGGUCGAGAAGUUCCGACUAGAUACAGUCAGACUCGCCUCCACGGACAGCUUGGGCUCUGGUACCAGUCCUCUCGAGAGGGGUUGGACUCUUUUCCACUCUGGAAUUGCCCACGGUGAGAGGCGCUGAGCAGGUGUGGGUAUACUUAUUGCUCCCCAGCUCGGCGCCUGUACGUUGGGGUUCACCCCGGUGGACGAGAAGGUAGCCUCCCUCCGCCUUCGGGUGGGGGGACGGGUCCUGACUGUUGUUUGUGCCUAUGCACCAAACACCAGUUCAGAGUACCCACCCUUUUGGAGUCCUUGGAGGGGGUGCUUGAGAGCGCUCCCGCUGGGGACUCCAUCGUUCUGCUGGGGGACUUUAAUGCUCACGUGGGCAAUGACAGUGAGACCUGGAAGGGCGUGAUUGGGUGGAACGGCCCCCCCGAUCAGAACCCGAGCGGGGUUCUGUUAUUGGACUUCUGUUCUCGUUCAAGCUUAUGUUCAAGCAUAAGGGUGUCCACACGUGCACUUGGUACCAGGACACCCUAGGUCGCAGUUCGAUGAUCGACUUUGUGGUCGUGUCAUCGGACUUGCAGCCGCAUGUCUUGGACACUCGGGUAAAGAGAGGGGCAGAGCUGUCAACUGAUCACCACCUGGUGGUGAGUUGGCUCUGAUGGUGGGGGAAGAUGCCGGUCCGACGUGGCAGGCCCAAACGUAUUGAGAACAGGUUUUGUGACCUUUGUCAGCUUGAGCCUUGUCUGUUGUUAAUUUCCAACCCUUUCUUGAACGUGGACACAACAUACAGUACAUUACUGAGAAACUAACUGCAAUCUUCAGCUUGGAUGCUGUACAGGGGUCGAUUAGAAUAUGUAACAUUGCAAAAUGAGCUGGACCUCAAAGCUUAUCAGGCUGCACCAAACAUUUGGUGUCUUGUUGACACAGACCAGUACAGUGGUGUCUGUACAGCAGCUAUUAAGGUUGCCAGCUAGUUUGGAUCAACCUAUCUGUGUCAAUCUGCCUUUUCUGACAUGAACUUUAUCAAAAACAAACACAUUCCUAAAUCAUUGUUAAUAAAUACUUUGAGAAAUCAUUAAUAUGAUCAAUUUCUUCAAUAAUAAUGAAUAUGAAUAAUUAUGAAUGAUAACACAUAAUUAGGUAAUCUGAGCAAAUUUGUUGUUUCAUAAAUGGGUAUCAAACUGGUAGCCCUUCGUGUUCAUCAGUAACAAGAAGUAGCUCUUGGUUUCAAAAAGGUUGGUGCCCCCUGUCUCAGUUUAGCAGGUUGAAUGCAAGUUCUACAGGGUCAAAGUUUAGAGAUUGACUUAGCCAGUCUAAAGCUUCCACUUCUUGCCCCUCCUUUGUUGAAUGCCAGUUUGUUUCGCAUCAUUACCAUGCUGCAUGAUGGAGUUUUGUUGUAUUUUUUUUAAUUGGCAGACCGAAUGUUGCAAUUGUUUUUAUUUUUAAUUUUGUCGCUGCCAUCAUGAACUGAAGAUACCAGAAGAAGAACUUUUAGGUUGUUGAUCAGAUCCAGGUGAAACAGGUCCAAGAUGAGGAACCCGAAAAAUCAUGACGAAGAACCCUCCUAUGUAUCAUGUACUUCCCUGCAGUACAGUUUUUGGAGCCUGGACGUCGCUUUGCGCCCUCUCGCCCUCUCUCUCUCCCCUCCCCUCUCUCUUUCAGAACCAUCCUCAAGCUGCACACCUGUCUCCAAUCAGCCCUCGUCACCACCUACAAAUAAGCCUGCCUGUUCCCGGAAAUCCUCGCUAAAGUCUUGCAGCUUAUUCCAGCGGUACCACGACCCACUUACCACACUGUUCCUUGAUUAACUUUUUGACUCCUGUGUCUCUCCUCGUUCCCAGUAUUUCCCCCGUGUUCCUGAUCCACGUCAUUCCUGCCGCCAAGCCAGCCGCCUGUCCUCUCCACUGCCAGCCACCUGUCCACGCCACUGCCAGCCAACGCACCAACAACCACCUCCAUUACCUUCCUAAAUAAACUGUUCAUCGCUAUCUAUCUGCCUCCACCUGCUCUUGGGUCCAGCUGCUCUCCAUACGUGACACUAUGGUGAGAAAUACAGUUGGAUCACAUUUUCCCUGGCCUGAAUGCAUCACUGCAACCCCUUCUGAAGCCAGGCCUGGAGGUGAGGCUUGAUAGUGAGCACCUAGUGGUUGAGCCUGCAUGACUACGCUACGCACAGCCCGAAGAGACAACCACCACGAAAACCCCAUAUACUGUAUGUGACAGAAUGACCCGACGAAAUAAAGACAUAGCGGGAAGUGCACGACGUCGCCCUACACGUCGUCCGUCUGCUUGCCAUCGCCCUCAACCUGUCGACUGAGGCUGAUUAAGCUGAUGCAGACCCUGUUCCUGCACCGCGGCAGCUCAUGGCCCAUGUUCCUGUGUCGGUACCGCAGAAAGUCAUGGUUCCUGUUCCUCUUCUGUUGACGCGGCAAAUCAAAGUUUUGUUUCAUGUCAUUCGGCCAACCCCCUCCCCUUUUCUUUUCCUUUGUCCUUCAGCAGCCAUGUGCGCGAGCCACCGCCGGGAAGAGGACGGUGGUGCUUUCGAUCGAGGAAGCCGGUCAAGUGGCUUCGAUUGCUUUUCCUAGCUGCGAUUGUUUGGCGGACCCUUAGCAAGCACCUACCGGCAUCCCGUACCGGUCACGCACGCAGCGUGACCGGUACGGUCUCAGCCUGCACUGUGUUCUGCUCAGAUAUCAUUCACUGUGACUCCCACUCUCUCUUCUCCACCAUCAACAAACAGCUCAACCCAAUGGGCAAUAUCACGCAGUCAUUUACGAUGAACAAAUGCAAGAACCCCCUGGACUACAAUUGAUAACAUCUGUACUUCUGUACAUCAACAGCUCUCCACACACAAAAAUCUCCAGCCCUGUUCUGCAUUCAAUCCCCACUGAAAUCCCACAGUUCACCCUUGCCUCAUUUUCGCCCGUUACGUCCUCUGACCUAAACAAACAUUUUUUAAAAAUCAAACUUACCACCUGCCCAUUGGAACCUUUCCCAUCUCCACUUGUCAAAUCAUGUGUCCCCUGCCUCACACCACUUAUCCUGGAUAUCAUCAACUCAUCCCUCUCCUUUGGUACUAUCCACUCCGCCUUCAAAAUUGCACACACUGUACUUAAAAAACCUCGACUGGCUCCUGAAAACCUGGAAAAAUUUACAUACACUGCCUGUACGUUAAAAUGUGAUGUUUAGUGUUGUAAAUACUGUUUAAGAGCAUUGUGUGUCAUUAAAAUCAGAGAAAAUAACUUUUUCCUAAACUUUGAAUUCAGCAUGUCACAGUAGCACAAACUAUUUUCUGUCUCUGCAAACCUGAAGGCAUUGGAGGAGUUGAUAUUGUUAUGACUGCAGUAUGUACCAUGCACCCGCCUAUGACAAAAAACUAUUGCAGUCAUUGAAGUAGCAAAUAAUGUUAUUUGUGGACACUGUACUAGUAUGCAUACUGUACGUGAAUGUGCAGUGAUGAGGUUUUGGGAGGAUUUGUGGACUUAUAAAUUAUGUGCUAGAAUAGAAAACCUAUUGAAAAUCAGCCAGGCAAUAAAUCUGCGAUGAAACACUUGGUAUAUGGUAAUUACUGUACAGAUUGUAGUGUUAAAUGUUUUUUUUUUUGUUUUUU